UCCUUGUGCUUAUGAGUGCAGUUGCACACAUGGAGGCCAGAUGUCAAUGUCUUCCUCAAUUGCUCUCUACUUUGUUUCUUCAGGCAGGGCUUAUCAGUGAACCUGCAGAUCACCAGUUGACCAGACAAGCAACCUAAGUAUCCUCCUGUCUACAAAUUCCCAGCAUGAAGAUUAUAGAGACAUACUUCUGUAUCCAGCCUUUUAGAUUAGGUUAAUGGAGGUAAGAAGACCUGCCUGCCCUACAUAUGGGUGGCAGCAUCCUAUGCCCUGGGAUCCUGGACCAAAUAAAGAGGAGAAAGCGAGCCAAGCACCAGCAGCAUCAACAGCCUUCUGAUGAUGUGCAGGAAGUGGCCACCAUCUUACAUUCGGCUGCUGUGACUUCCCACCAUGUAAGAUGAUAGCCUGGAACUGUGAGCCCAGAGAACCCUCCUCCCUUUUGUCAAGUAUUUGGUU
rnacentral:lncRNA from 1 species